AGAGUUUGAUUCUGGCUCAGGACGAACGCUGGCGGCGUGCCUAACACAUGCAAGUCGAGCGAUGAAAGAGAAGUGGCGGUCUUCGGACCAAAACAUUUCUGGAUUAGCGGCGGACGGGUGAGUAACACGUGAGCAACCUGCCUAUCACAUCGGGAUAGCCUCGGGAAACUGGGAUUAAUACCGAAUGAAACAUAUUGGUAACCUUAUCGAAAUGUCAAAGAUUUAUCGGUGAUAGAUGGGCUCGCGUCUGAUUAGCUAGUUGGUGGGGUAAUGGCCUACCAAGGCAACGAUCAGUAGCCGGCCUGAGAGGGUGAACGGCCACACUGGAACUGAGACACGGUCCAGACUCCUACGGGAGGCAGCAGUGGGGAAUAUUGCACAAUGGAGGGAACUCUGAUGCAGCGACGCCGCGUGAGUGAAGAAGGUUUUCGGAUCGUAAAACUCUGUCCUUGGUGAAGAUAAUGACGGUAGCCAAGGAGGAAGCCCCGGCUAACUACGUGCCAGCAGCCGCGGUAAUACGUAGGGGGCGAGCGUUGUCCGGAUUUACUGGGGCGUAAAGGGUGAGUAGGCGGUUGUAUAUGUCAGGUGUAAAAGGCUAUGGCUUAACCAUGGUUCGCUCUUGUUUCUGUUUGUCUUGUGUGCUGGUGUGGUGUGUGGAAUUCCCUCGUGUAGCGGUGNGUNGCGUUGUUNUUAAGAGGUCCUCCCGUGGCGAAGGCGACUUACUUGUCUGUAACUGACGCUGAGUCACGAAAAGGGUGGGUAGCAAAAGGGAUUAGAUACCCUGGUAGUCCACGCCGUAAACGAUGGAGGAGAAGGGGCCAGCGAUGGUCAGUGCCGCAGUUAACACAUUAAGCACUCCGCCUGGGGAGUACGUACGCAAGUAUGAAACUCAAAGGAAUUGACGGGGACCCGCACAAGCAGCGGAGCAUGUGGUUUAAUUCGAAGCAACGCGAAGAACCUUACCAAGGCUUGACAUCCCCUGCAUUACUCUUAAUCGAGGAAGUCCCUUCGGGGACAGGAUGACAGGUGGUGCAUGGUUGUCGUCAGCUCGUGUCGUGAGAUGUUGGGUUAAGUCCCGCAACGAGCGCAACCCUUAUUGUUAGUUGCCAUCAUUAAGUUGGGCACUCUAGCGAGACUGCCCGGGUUAACCGGGAGGAAGGUGGGGAUGACGUCAAAUCAUCAUGCCCCUUAUGUCUAGGGCUACACACGUGCUACAAUGGUCGGUACAAUAAGACGCAAGCCCGCGAGGGGGAGCAAAACUGGAAAACCGAUCUCAGUUCGGAUUGUGGGGUGAAACUCGCCUACAUGAAGCUGGAGUUGCAAGUAAUCGCGAAUCAGCAUGUCG
rnacentral:rRNA from 1 species